CCUACGGGGGGCAGCAGUGGGGGAUAUUGCACAAUGGCGGAAACCCUGAUGCAGCGACGCCGCGUGGGCGAAGAAGUAUUUCGGUAUGUAAAGCCCUAUCAGCAGGGAAGAAGAAAUGACGGUACCUGAGUAAGAAGCACCGGCUAAAUACGUGCCAGCAGCCGCGGUAAUACGUAUGGUGCAAGUGUUAUCCGGAUUUACUGGGUGUAAAGGGAGGGCAGGCGGCACGGCAAGCCUGAUGUGAAAGCCCGGGGCCCAACCGCGGGACUGCAUUCGGAACUACCGGGCUGGAGUGCCGGAGAGGUAGGCGGAAUUCCUAGUGUAGCGGUGAAAUGCGUAGAUAUUAGGAGGAACACCAGUGGCGAAGGCGGCCUACUGGACGGUGACUGACGCUGAGGCUCGAAAGCGUGGGGAGCAAACAGGAUUAGAUACCCGAGUAGUC
rnacentral:rRNA from 1 species